CUGGAGCAGAUCCAUGUGUGUAGAAGGUCCAUGCCAAUGAUCAUCCUGAGCCUGGUCUUGCCCAGAGCCUGCAUGGCUGCUUCAUAUCCCAACAAAGGAUGGCUACAGUCAACGUAGCUAGAAAGGCACAACUUUCAGCAGUGUGUUCUCCCUCCUGCUGCCUGCUCCAAGCGGCUGUGAAUCCCCAAUGGAGUUCACCUUCCCCCUCGAACACGCAGGAAGAAGAACACAGAGGCAGGAUCAAACAACAAAGUCUUUACUCUCAGCAAAGCCACCCUGACUGAAAACCAUGACCAAAGAUGUCCAAGAAUAUUCUCUCUGGCCCAGUCCUAUGUGUUCCAACAAGAUCAAACACCCUGACACUGAGUGUUCUCAACUCUGCAGAAGCCACAUCAACAACUAUUAAAGGUCUAUUCAGAGCCUAUAAACAUUUUAUGCAGCAAGUAUAUCAAGUUAUGUGUAAAUACUCACAUAUUUGAUACGUUUCCUUUGGGGCCUUUUGAUGUGUAUCCCAAAUAUUACUCUGCUGAAUGUACCACUUCAUUAUUGUCCACAAAGUCAAGAGAACACAUUAUCAGUAAACAGAUAAUGGCUUUUACUUGAGACUUAAGAUGAUGAAGACACUAAGCAGUGCAUGUGGGUAGUAACAGAACCUGGUAGAUGGGUGAUAAGAUCCUGUCUUCCUUUUGUUGUUCUGUCUUCAUCUGAGACAACAUUGGGGAGGUUGGAAGAUGUGAAAAUUGCCUGUGGAUUGCGUGUGGCGACAUGCAUUGCACCAGAGUCCUGAGUUAAGUAAUAAAG